UACGGAGGAUCCGAGCGUUAUCCGGAUUUAUUGGGUUUAAAGGGUGCGCAGGCGGGGGAUUAAGUCGGCGGUGAGAUUUUGCAGCUCAACUGUAAAAGUGCCUUCGAAACUGGUUUCCUUGAGUGUAGAUGAAGUAGGCGGAAUUUGUGGUGUAGCGGUGAAAUGCUUAGAUAUCACGAGGAACUCCGAUUGCGCAGGCAGCUUACUAAACUACUACUGACGCUCAGGCACGAAGGCGUGGGGAUCAAACAGGAUUAGAUACCCUGGUAGU
rnacentral:rRNA from 1 species